GAAAUGCGAUAAAUAAUAUCAAUUAUAGAAUUUAGUAAAUUAUUAAAUCUUUGAACGCAUAUUGCGCCCCUUAGUAUUCCGUGGGGUAUGCCUAUUCGAGCGUUAUCUAUACCCUUAAGCUCUACUUAGUGUUGGGCGUCUGUUCCGCCUUCGUGCGUGGAUUUAUUCUAAAUAUAUUAGUAGUGGUUUUUGCUUUCUCCUACGUAGUAUAUUACGCUUCUCGAGGCUGUGGUGGCCUACGUUUAAUAAGCUAAACCCCCCCGUUUUUAACCUUAGAUUAGAUAGGGAUACCCGCUGAACUUAAGC
rnacentral:misc_RNA from 1 species